CAUUCCGGAUUAUUGAUCUUACCGCAGAGUGCGCUGAAUCAGAGCAUGACACGUCAUUAUAAUCUUAGAUUGGAUUCCUGCUUCAACUGGUUAAUUUCCCGUUGCGUGCACUCUUCAGUAGAUGACAAAGAAUCAAAACGUGACAAACGCCACGUCCUUUGAUUUCUCGGAGUUCAUCGAAGUAGCUCAAAGUGAACGUAGAACAGACUGAUCCUUCGCACAAAUGGAGACAAUGAUUACUCAGCACUGGCGUUUUUGGUUGGCGUUUUUUUUCAAGCGACUGGCCCAGGAGAGAAAGUCUGACGAACUUUUCAAGUGAGUCGCGCCGUCCGUCCAAAUGGAAAGUGAAAUCAAGAAACUAAAAAACUCGGUAAACAGUACACAACAUCCAGCUGAGCACCAGAAACUUUUAAUUCUACGUAAUCAGAGAUGACUUGAUGUAACAUGGAACAGAAUCCCAAACUUUUUAGUGGAAUGGCUCAACUCUUGAUCGUAGAAGAAUUUACUAAACGAGUACUGAACAGUUAUCGAUUCGUGACGUCAUUGAUCGGAUAUACACAUGCGCCGUGAACAGGCACAAAGAUGUUUCGGUUUUACCAGCUCUUUGAGAUGGAAGGUCAGCUGCAACAUCAGCUUGAGACUGAAAGCUUGGAAAUAAGACAACAUAUAACGAGUUCAAACUCACAUAUAAUUCAAAGUGAGCUGCAGAGAGUUAUGCAUGUCAUAAGACGACAUUCGUUGGAACACUACCAACGAACAAGGGAGGAGAAAGGCAUGCUUGAGUGUUUGCAGAGGGAGGCAUAUGCCAUGCGGUUAAAAAUCAUGAUGGGAUAAUGAUCGGAUAACGCAUAUCACAGGCGCGAAUGGCAAGAGAUCAUAUUAUAUUUAAAAGUUGUACAGUGUUAAGUAUAAGAUGAACUUAAAGAACAAUAAAAAGUAAAAACCAA